ACCAGUACAGUAAAUUAUAAAUGUAUUUCUAUAAAAUUUAAUUUUCAUAUAUUAUUUCUAUAAAAGUUAUAAUAUUUUUAAAUAUAUUCCUCUGAUUUGUUAUCGUUAUAAAACUGUCUAUAUUUUAAAUAAAAUAUCAAUUUUACCAUCACAAAUAUGGGGCAAAAACAUCAAGUUAUCUAAUUAAGUAUUUAACCUAUAAUUAACUAAAAUUUUUUAACGAAUUCUGACGACAGGAACAUAUUUAAAACAUUAGAAUUUUUAUAAAAAUUAAACUUUAUAAAAAAAUAUAUAUUUAUAAUUCACUAUUUUGGCAGGGACGCUUAUGAAAUUAACCAAAUAAAAUAACAAAUUAAUAUACGCUUUUAAAACUU
rnacentral:lncRNA from 1 species